rnacentral:rRNA from 1 species
CCAGACUCCUACGGGAGGCAGCAGUGGGGGAUAUUGGACAAUGGGGGGAACCCUGAUCCAGCGACGCCGCGUGAGUGAAGAAGUAUCUCGGUAUGUAAAGCUCUAUCAGCAGGGAAGAAAGAAAUGACGGUACCUGAGUAAGAAGCCCCGGCUAACUACGUGCCAGCAGCCGCGGUAAUACGUAGGGGGCAAGCGUUAUCCGGAAUUACUGGGUGUAAAGGGAGCGUAGACGGUGAAGUAAGUCUGGAGUGAAAGGCGGGGGCCCAACCCCCGGACUGCUCUGGAAACUGUAGAACUAGAGUGCAGGAGGGGUAAGUGGAAUCCCUAGUGUAGCGGUGAAAUGCGUAGAUAUUAGGAGGAACACCAGUGGCGAAGGCGACUUACUGGACUGUAACUGACGUUGAGGCACGAAAGUGUGGGGAGCAAACAGGAUUAGAUACCCUAGUA